rnacentral:rRNA from 1 species
AGCGUAGGCGGUCGAUUAAGUUGGAUGUGAAAUACCCGGGCUUAACUUGGGGGUGCAUCCAAUACUGGUGGACUAGAGUACAGGAGAGGAAAGCGGAAUUCCUGGUGUAGCGGUGAAAUGCAUAGAUAUCAGGAGGAACAUCGGUGGCGAAGGCGGCUUUCUGGACUGACACUGACGCUGAGGCUCGAAAGCGUGGGGAGCAAACA